CCUGCACAACAGGGCAGAGUAUGAGAGAACCAAGUGUGAUAUGAAGAUCGGGAGAAGAGAGCAUACUGUCUGUGAGAUCACAUGUUGUGACCUGGACUGUCGGACUAACCCCCUUGUGUACCGGACCGGAUUGGCUGAGAACCCGAGUGUGAGGAUUACCCCUGGAAAAAGGAACGGACAAAGAGAAUGGCUUGUGGAUUGUGCGGUGAUUGCGUCUGGACAAGGGAAAACAUAACGACAUCAAUGCUGACACAGAGAACAAACAAAGGAUCUGAUUUGGAAAAGUUGUAUUCCUGGUCGUAUUGCUGCGUCAUGUCAUGUGACGGAAUGCAGCAGCCAACAUACGAAGCAUCGGGGAGUACUGGCGUUCCGGUUGGUAUGGUGGCAUUGUCUCUGGGUCGCCACCGGGGGUGCCUAGCCAGCUCGUCGGGCUUCCACACCCUAGCUGGCUCGAGAGAUUUGGCUCGGCUGGAGCCCAUCCCACGCCGGGCCUCAGCCGGAUCAUCACUUCUUGUUCGCCCAGCCGGUCCAGGAGUUUUUGUUUUGUUGGUGAAGUCGGGGUGGAUUCCGUCUCCGAUAGAACCAGGGAUGUCUAAGCCAGCCUGUCGGGCUUCCACACCCUGGCUGGCUCGAGAGGUUUCCUUGCCUCUGUUGGCUUGGCGGCUUCCCUCCCACGUCAUUCUCCUCCGGAUCAUCGGGCUCCAUCUUACUGCAGCGAGAUCGACAGUUGUCUUGCCUUAGCCGGAUUGUCAAGCUCCCAUGCCUCAGCCAGCUAGCCAGGCUCUCACGCUCCUGCCGGUUCAUCGGGCUUCCACGCCCCAACCCGGCUUGCCCAGCGCCCAUGUCUCGGCUGGUUCACCCAGGUGGGAUGCCGUGUGUUGCCCCAAGAGGGGGGGUACUGUCACGUCUUCUCCCGCUCUUCCCUCCCCCUAGGGCUUGAGGGCGCCAGGUUGCUCUACAUCACUCCUGCCAUCCAUCACGCACACGUGCCUUCCCUCGUCACCUGCAUCAGCGUUAUUGGACUCACCUGGACUCACUUAUCACCUGUUAAUUUCCUCCCCUAUAUUUGUCAGUUCCCCAGCUAUGUUUCUUUAGUAUUAGUUUGCUGACGCUGUUUCUGUCUCGUUCCAUGUCCGUCUUUAUUAAAUGCUUCAUCUCUCCAGCGUCAUGUGACACAAGGACAGCGUCUAGACAAGGGAAAACAUAAUGACAUCAAUGCUGACACAGAGAACAGAGAACUCAGGAGCAGACAGAUAUAGAGGGGCAAUCAACAAAGUAAUGGAGUCCAGGUGAUUCUAAUAUUGCUCAGAUGCACUUAAUGAUGGUGACAGGUGUGCGUAAUGAUGGGCCACCUGGCGCCCUCGAGUGCCAGAGAGUGAGAGCAGGUGCAGGCGUGACAAUAACUUUAGCUAGCUGGCUAAAAUUGACUGACGGGACUGGAUUUUAGCUAGCUUGCGAACAUAAACAUUGCUAGCUAUUUUUUUUUACAAACUUGUCUAGCUAUUGUAAUUGCCAUCUCUCUAAAGUAAAUUUGAAUACAUGAUAAUGAUGGCAAAGUUGUUACCUACUAAUUACUUGCUUACUUUAGCCAUGACAUCAUAUUUCUAGGCCACUAUAGUGUCUCCUCAGAUAAGGUUAGCUAGAUUGCUAGCUACCAAAGUCUGUGAGCUAACUAAUGGUAGCUAGCUAACUAGCCUGUUGACUGUUGUUCAAGCUGCGACCAAGGUAGCCUACUUGGUUUUGCUGUGUCCUGUCUUUUUUAUGCUGUUUUUUUAA